CUAAACCCUAGGGGGAAAAAAUGUGUGUAACGAGGACCAGAACUCCCAUAAAGAUGAAGAGCCUGGCUUGAAGGAAAGGCUUUUUAAAAAUAGGUUUGUGGGUUUUUGUAAAACCAGAAGAUGGCAGCAAGCAUUGACUAGAAUUUUUUACCACUAAACCACUUCACACCUUCAGAGCAAAGUGAUAUCCUUUG
rnacentral:lncRNA from 1 species